CCUCCUGUCACCGGGCUCGGCGCAGUCCCAUGGCCGCGCCGCCGCGCGCUCCUCGCUCGGCCCUGCAACCCCCGGCUGCCCCGCGGCAGAGCGAACCCGCCGUUCGAGCCCUGAGGCGACGCGGCGGCGGAAGCUGAUAACAUAUUGUCCUACCACCGUUUAUUAAGAACGCCUACCUUUCAGAAGAGAGCUGCAGUGCCACUUCAAGCUUCCAUAUAUUCAUGAGUCGGAUUCUGGACUCGAUUUCAUUCCAUUAAUUGAUUUGUAUAGCCCUCCUUUAAUACAUCGUAAUACAUCCUCCAAUUCUAUCUUACCAGCUUAGUAAUCAAUUUUGAUACCUAAUAGGACAAAUCUCACAACUUAUUCUUUUUUGAUUUUUCAAGAUUUUGCUCUCCCAUAUAAAUUUUGGAAUCAGAGUCUCACGUUCCUUGAAAACCCCAUGGGGGUUUUGAUGAGACUUGCCUUGAAUUUACAGAUCAAUUUAGGGAGAAUUGCUACAUUAAGGACAUUGAAUUCUCCUAUCUUUGAACAUGGCAUAUCUCUCUAUUUAUUUAGGUCUUCUUUAAUGAAUUUCAAUAAAGUUUUGUACUUUCCUUCAUAUAGAUCUUGCACUUCCUAGUUUUAUUACUAUCGUAAAUUUUUUUGAGUAUGACUUAUCAAACCACUGUAAAAAGGCAUUUUUGAAGCACUUGGAGACAUUUUAAUAUGGACUGGAUAUUAGGUAAUAAUAAGGUAUUGAUGUUAAUUUGGUUAGGUUAAUAUGUUAACAUAGUAUUCAUCAGGGUAAAAAGAAGAAAAGGCCUUUAUCAGAAAUUCAUACUUAAAGUGACAUGAUGUUUUGUUUGUUUGAAAUGGUUGAUAAAAAUAAUUUAAAAUAGUUCAUUAAAAAAUGAGGGAAGAGGUAAAAGAAGAAUGGCAAAAUAUUGAUAAUUAUUGAAGCUAGGUAAUGGAUACAUGGGAGUUCAUUAUACUGUUCUCUCUAUUUUUGUGUAUAUUUGAAAUUGUCCAUAAUAGACUUUAAAAUUGUAUUUUCUAAUCAUUCUUUGCAGGCUUACGUAUAUGUAUGUAUGUAUGUAUAUAUGUAUAUAUACAUAUGCACACACAGUCUUAUCAUUUGUGAAUGUGAAUUGUGAAAAAAGUUUCUCCUUUUCCAAUCCUAGGCCUUACUGGGUUGGCUGAGACCUCUAAUGUAUUGUUGAAUAAAAAUGUUGAUAUUA